UACAGAGGGUGCGAGCGUUAAUCGAAAUUACUGGGCGUAAAGGGUGCGUAGGUGGUUAUAUAAGUUGGGUGUGAAAUUCCUAGGCUUAACCUGGGGACUGCGCCUGAGACUGUAUGGCUAGAGUUCUGUAGAGGAAGGUGGAAUUUCCGGUGUAGCGGUGAAAUGCGUAGAUAUCAGGAGGAACACCUGUGGUGUAGACAGCUUACUGGACCAUUUCUGACGCUGAGACACGAAAGCGUGGGUAGCAAACAGG
rnacentral:rRNA from 1 species